UUAUUAGAAGAAACCCUCAUCGGUGGAUUGGGCCUCUCCCUGCCUAGCAAGUCCAGGCUGGUUGGUGGGUCUGCGGUUAAACCUGAACUGACACAAAGAGGAUGUGGCUACUGUUGCAGGGCUGUGCAAAACCGGGGCUCUGAUGAGGUCUGGGCUCUGAGCAGGAUCCUUGUUUAUGUAACCAGCCCCAGGCUGCCAGCUCCCUAGGCCCACUGGUGAGCCUGAUGGGUCCCUCCAUCCCUCCCGCCGUGCACCAGUGGGCGCCCCCAAAUCCAGGGGGUGGUUAGGAUUAGAGUCAGAGGUCACCCUGUGGCAGCUCAGACCCACUCAGAGCAGUGGCCCACAGACUGCUCUUCAGAGGCACGGGGAGCUCUUAAAGGGCUCGUGACACUGAAAUAAUAACAUAUCCCUGAGCAGAGACACGUCACCCCCAAACGAAAUGGUGAACUAGCAUCACUUCAGAGAGCUACUUCGGGUGCUUAUUCCCCCAUUUGCUUCCUGAUGAAAAGAGAGGAAAUUUGCAUGCACUGAGCCCCAAUUCUCAUCCACCACAGUGUCCUGGGCAUUAAGUUCACAGGAGGAAAGUGUGGGGAGACCCCUUCUCCUUAGAACCUCUUGCUGCAUCUGUCACUUAUUCCUUCCUGUAAACGACUUCUCCACUUUCUUCUGAUUAAAUAUCUGCCUAGGGUGGGAGCACAGCCUGGGCAGGGGUUUUUAGCCGAACAACCUAACAUGACGUAGCCCAUCAUAGCUCAUGUCUUGGUUCAGUCCUACCCCGGGUGUUCUCACUACCGUCUUUGUUAUUGGGAAAACCAAGGCGCAGAGGAGCUGAUAACUCAUCCGAGGCCAUAGAACAAAGAUGAAGAUUGCGGUUGGAAUUCCUGAUGCUUUUGACAUCCCGUGACGAGCAAGCAGGACCACUGAAAGCAAGCCUGGGCAAACCCGGCUCUCGGGCUCCUCAGAGGAUUCGAUGUGAUUUAAACGACAGGAGCCAUUCUAGUGACAAGCCCUCUGUCCGAUCCUGGAACAUGAAAGGUGGAGAUGAGGGGCUCUGCCCCCGGAGGAGCCCUGGCCUGCAGUCCUCAGCGUCACAGGUUCAGAACUCGAGUCUGACCCAGUUCCUGGAUGAGACCCUGGGGACACAUUUCUCAAGAGCUGGUGUACAGCAUGCUCUAUAUCAGAACUCUCCCCUGUGCUUGUCGAAGGGACAGUGAGGGGUGUGCCCCUCUGCUCAUUUUCCUGGUAACUGAUGAGCCAACCUGAUGUCAGCGCCCGCUAUAACUGGCACCUCCCUCUCCCCGGAGACUGCUGCCACGUCCUGCCCACCGUCCAAGGUGCAUGGUGGGGUGCUGCUCCAGGACUUUGCUCCAGACCUCCUUCCUCUGGGCUGAUAAGGAAAAGGAAGACUGUCGAGUAGUCCAGAUAUCUUGCUCCUGGUGUUCCGCUCAGAAUGGCACUCCCGGGACGGUACUGUGGGCCGUGACUUUAAAGUACAAAUGCGCUUCUGUUUCGUAAGAGAGAAGAGGUGGCGUCCAAACUUGGACAUCCUUGGUGUAGAAGCGCUGCUUCCCGGGGUCUCUGUUUGCCUUGGAAAGUUACAUUUUUAACCGUCAUCAAGGCCAUGGCUAGCUAAGGGCACGGUUCACUCAGUCCCAGGAUGUCGGGUAUCAUGUAGCAAUUUGUGCAGAGCUUGCACUCUCUGUUUGCCAGACAGGAGAAGGGCUGCUGGAGCCCUGCCGGCCCUCCCCAUCCUCCACACCCACCAGACCUGCAGCCCGGGGCUCAGGGCAGUCCUUGUCACCCGCCUCACCCGCUGGCUUCCUGCUGCCUCAUUUCGAGUGCAUUUGUCUAGAAAAAAAAGUUACUAAGCUGGAUCUGUU